rnacentral:misc_RNA from 1 species
AGACCUCUUGAACCUUGACAAUUAUUUUUGAAACAAGCCUCCCAAGCCAAGAAAAUGACCUACUACUACUAUGGCAGAAGAAGCAACUCAAUCUUUGAUGUCUUCACUCUCAAUCCCCUACCAUACCCAGUUCUUUUAAUGUUAGCAGUCAUAUCAAUCUUUCUCGGCAUAUCAUGGUACUUCAGCUAUGAAGAAAUUGCAGAGACUGCAGAGAUGCAAAUGAAUUGGUUGCUUUUGGCCACACCACUAGUGUUGCUCUUCCUCGUCCGUUGGUUGUCAUUUAUGGAAAAUUCUGACAUGUUUGCCAAAUCACCGUGGGAAUGGAAACGGCGGACCCACCACCGUCCACCGGAGGGGAGCUCGCCCUGGGGUGUAGCUGCUUUGAUUGUGUUGCUGCUUGUUUUGGCGCAAUUCCAGUCUGCCUUUCUUGAUAGCUGGUUUUGACACUAUAUAUGCUCAAGAUACUUUUAGUUGGUUUGGUAUCAUGUGAUAUCUGAUUUCAACAUGGGUUUUGUGUUUUGAUACUUUUUGCUGGUUUGGUAUUAUACUAUUAUCUGAUUUCAUGAAGUUGGGUUUUGGGUCUUGUGUUCAUAAGAUAGACAGGUUAAAUAUAGAGUUAAUUAUAUAUGUAACUGUUAAUCAAGAGCAAAGGUUAUAGAGAGUUGGUUUUGGUAGUUAUUGUUGCAUAUGUACAGUAGAGGAUGAUGCAUUAAGCUGUAUGACUGGGAGGUUUGAUGCCUUGUUUGAUAUGGUUUUUUGUGAGAUUUUAAUGAAGAUGCCUUUAUCUUGUUGUGGGCUAUGUACGUCUAAUUGUUCCUAGUUCUUGUUGGGCUAAGUUGAAGUCUUGAUUCAAAUCAAGCAUCUAAAGUUAAAUUUAUUCAUUGCUGACAAAACUUUACCCCUGUUUGGAUGCUGAGAAAAUUAAGGUAAUGUGAAGAAAUCAUGUGGAUGUGGUUAAUUUUUAGUCCAAUAUUAGUAUUAUUGUUUUCUUCUCUCGAUAUCUCUAAUAAAGACAAAUAAUGUUCACAAUUCUGCA